rnacentral:misc_RNA from 1 species
GCCGUUUUGUUUUUGGUGAAAUCCCUAAAUGUUAGAGAUUACUUUAUGCUUUAGGGUUAUAGGAAUUCCUAAAGUAUGAAAAAGCCAAGUCUUCUUUUUUGAAGACAACUUUAGAGAUUUAUCUUCUUCUUCCUCCAUUUUUCUCUCAAGCCAAACACUUUCUUAUUCCUUCUUGUGUUUAAUUCAAGUGAAAUUAAAAGUUGUUACUCUUGAAAUUAAAGCUAGAGAAACUGUUU